UGUUUGGGAUCUUCAGGUUUUCCUCAGGUAAAUCUUCAGGUGGGAUUCUCAGGCGUUUUCCUCAGGUAAAUCUUCAGGUGGGAUCUUCAGGUGGGAUCCUCAGGCGUUUUCCACAGGUAAAUCUUCAGGUGGGAUUCUCAGGCGUUUUCCUCAGGUAAAUCUUCAGGUGGGAUUCUCAGGCGUUUUCCUCAGGUAAAUCUUCAGGUGGGAUUCUCAGGCGUUUUCCUCAGGUAAAUCUUCAGGUGGGAUCCUCAGGCGUUUUCCUCAGGUAAAUCUUCAGGUGGGAUUCUCAGGCGUUUUCCUCAGGUAAAUCUUCAGGUGGGAUCCUCAGGCGUUUUCCUCAGGUAAAUCUUCAGGUGGGAUCCUCAGGCGUUUUCCUCAGGUAAAUCUUCAGGUAAAUCUUCAGGUGGUUCUGCACAGGAAACAUAAAACCCUUUAAAUCAGUCCUGAGCGUGAGAAUUCUCUCUGCACUCGACACCAUCAUCACUUAUCCACAAUUAUUUAAUAAUUCUAUAUAAAAUCUGAAUCAGUAAUUUUUAUAAACUCCAGGCUGAGCUCAGGACCUGCAGGCCUCAGUCUGCUGCUCUGAUUAUA